rnacentral:piRNA from 1 species
UGACAAUGCAUCCCCUGCUUUCACAUGCUC